rnacentral:SRP_RNA from 1 species
GCCAGGUGUGGUGGCUCACACCUGUAAUCCCAGCACUUUGGGAGGCCGAGGCGGGUGGAUCACUUGAGGCCAGGAGUUCAAGACUGACCUGGCCAAUAUGGUGAUACCCUGUCUCUA